CGGAUGCUGCAGCUGCCAGCAUGUAAGUUAACAAGAAGAGAGGCCAGGAGCCAUGAGUCAACAUUUGAGAACAUCCUGAGAAAGAGAAGAAUCACCUAGAAACCAGGUCCCUUCACUCAACACUGGAGAGCAUUUACAUAUUGCCCGAUAUCCAAAAAUCAACUUUUAAAAAAUAUUUUAAGGGGAAAAAAGGAUGUCUACCACAGCAUGGCUUGCCAAGCAGUUCCAUGUCUGCACCCGGGAUCUGAACUGGUGAACCCCAGGCCGCUGAGAAGCAGAACAUGUGAACUUAACAGCUCUGCCACCCGGCUGGCCCCAAAUUUUUUCAGUCUUACGCAGAUGACCUUCAGAGUUGAACUGGGCCACCGGUUCUCCCGGGUCUCCAGUCGGCUGGCCCUUAGACGGCAGUACCAGGUCUCCUGAGUGUGCACCCUGGAGAUUUGCAACUUGCCACCCUCCAGAAGAGUGUGAGUCAAUUCCUUAUAAUAAUCUCUUUCUAUACAUUCAUACAUCCUAUUGGCUCCAUCUGUCUGGAGAAUCCCAGCUAAUACAAUUACUAUAAAGAAAGAAUUCAAUACAUUCAAGAUCAUUUCUCUAAGACCGAUAAACUUUGCACGUCUUGCUCCCAUAGCUGGGAGGUGGAGGGAUACAAGUACAUUUCCAUUCACGCACACACAGACACACACAUAAUAUAUGCACAUACACAUUUAUUCACUCUGAUUCAUCCUAGGACAAACUCCUGUCUAAUUAUUAUGUAAAUACUUGUAGGUUUAUAUCUUAACGCAGGGCAACAAUGUAGUUCUGGAUUCAAUCAUUUGUUUCCAUCUAAAAAAUGAUGGAUCAUUGCUAUACUAUAUCCAAAAAAAUAAUCAAAGCUUUUUUAAUACCUAUGCUAUUUACAUAUUUGAAAAUGUUGCUUUCAGGUUUUUUUUAAAGACAAUAAAAUGUUUUAAGCAACUCCCAACAAAAUAUGAUGGAUUCAAGUCAUGCUUACUCAACUCUUAUGCUUGAAACCCUUCAAAAUGAUCAAAAAGAAGCAAUAAAGGAAAACAUUCCAUUUGUAAUUAUUGAAUAGAGGUAUUCUCCUGAGUAUUUUUUUUAAUAGUCAAUAAUUUCAGAAAUUUCUCUAUAAAAAUCAGAUGAUGAGGGUUGUGGAAUUGUGGCUUAGUUUUUCCAUAGUGUCCUUGUGCCUCACCCCAGUGAUCCAGAAGACAUAAUGAACCCAGGAACUGUACUCAUCCCAAGACUUAAAGACUUUUAAAAGAGAGAUUUACUGGUAGUGAGGCAUUAAGAGAGUGAAGAGUAAAGAUCGCCUUAUUUGAAGGCCACUGCUCAUAGUCACCCCAGAUUUGAUUAAGAAAUCCCUAACUACCAAACAAAAAUCCUCUGAGGUGAGAAGCAUAAAAAUGAGCCACACCAAACUCUUGUCCAGGUUAUCUGUUCCCUUUCAACAGCAGACCAAAUCUGAAUCUGAAGAGUGAAGAUACAAGGUCCCCAGUUUUCCACUCUCAGGUAAUUCAUCAAUGAUCCAUGCUCAUCUUUAGUCAGUUACUUAGCAAACAAGCAAAGAUUAUUAAAACAAAAAGACAGAAAUUGAAAUGUCCCAAUUCAAAUUUGAGUAAGUCGGGAGCUAUGAAUAGACACUCAAACACACUAAAAUAGUAUUAAAAGAGAGAACCAUUUAAAAGUACUGAUUAAUUAUGAAUUUCAGGCUCCAAAAACAUAAGAAUAUUUUAGACAAACAUUUCUCAACGAUCUAAAAUAAAUUAGUGAAGAAAAGAACCAGUUUUACAAGUAGCUUAAACAGAAGAAGCAACAAAAGGUUAAAAAGCUAUAAGAAGAUAGACAAAAAUGCAUAUUGUCCUAUAGAUAUCAGCAAAUUAAAAAUAGUAAUAAAAUCAUGACAUAAAUUUAAAUGUAUUGGAAUUAGAAUACAGACUGCUAAAAUCAAUUAUUGGUAUGAAGAUAUUUGGAAAAGUAAAUAGACUAUAGAGAGAAAGACAAGAUAAUAAAAGUCAUUAUAUAGAAAAUAAAAGAUUAAGCAGAGAGCAGAGAUCAUAAUAGCUAAAACCUUUAUAGUAAUACCAUAUUCUUGGCUCUGUUCUAAGCACUUUACGUAUGUUAACUUAUUUAAUCAUCACAAAAAUCUUCUGAGGAAAAUUAUGUUAUUAUUUUCACAUUACACAGGAUAAACUCAGUGGAUUAACUGAGGCUCAGAGAGAUUAAGUAAAUUAUCCUGUAGUCAUACAACAACUAAAUUGUAGAGCUGUCAUUGAAACCUAACCAGACUUUCAUUGGAAUCCACAUUCUUAACCCUUAUGCUAAACUAAAUCUCGUGAUGCAACCUAGAGAUGGUCAAAGAAACUCAACAUGCUCAAAGAGGUGAUGUUGAAACAGAAAAUGAAGAGAAGAAACAACUGAAAUACAAAGCUAAUCUCACUUGUGAGCAUAGACACAGAUUCUAAGCCAAAUAUUCACAAACAAAAUGCAUGUGCAACACAUACACACUCCAAUUUGGAGUGCCUGAUUACUAAAAUACAAAAGAAAAUUCUUAUAAAACUGGAAAUAAAUGGGAAAAAGUUCUGUUAGAUAAAGUUUAUGUAUAAUAAUUACAAAGCAUUGCUGGUUAAAAUCACAGAAGAUCUAAGUGUUCAUAGUUUGAAAGACCCAAUACAAUUAAUGUGCCAAGCCCCUUCCAAGUGUUCUGUAGAUUCAAUACAAGUCCACUCAAAAUUCUAGUAGGGUUUUCCCUAGAAAUAGACAAGAUGAUUAAAAAAUAAUUUGGAUGGGCAAAGGACCAAGAAUGGCCAAAACAAUAAUGAAAAGGAAAGACAAAAUUGAAGACACUCUAUCUGACUUCAAGAAUUACUGUAAGGAUAAAAGUAUCAAGACAGUGUUAUGUUGGCAGAAGGAUAGACAAAUAUAUCAAUAUAGCUAUUGGAAGUACAGAAAUAUGCCGCACAUACAUAAUUUUUUAAAAAGUUACCAGAAGGGGAAAAAAAAAACCUAUCCAGCAAAUCAUGCUGGAACAACUAGAUAAUCUCUUUGGGGGACAAAAGAAAAACUUAACUCCUAUCUCAUACCAACAACAUGGAUGAAUCUCAAAAACAUCAUGCUGAAUCAACAUAGCCAAACACAAAAAAGUACCUAUUGUAUGAUUCCAUUUAAUUGAUAUUCUAGAAUAGCCAAACUAACCUAGAUGGAAAUCAGAUCACUUGUGGUUUCAAGUAGGGGAUUGACUGGAAAUUGGAAGAAUAAGAGAUUGCUAGGUGAUGGAAGUGUUCAGUGUCUUGAUAGGAUUAAGAGUUACGUAGGAUAUAUAUUUCUCAAAUUUGAUUUAAUAGGACUCUUACCAUCUGAACAUUUUACUGCACAGUGAGCAUAUACUGUAUGUAGAUUAUAUAACUAAAAAACAAGUUCAGGAACCAACCUUAAUGGGCUUUCGUUGACCAAAAAUGGAAUAAUCUGAGCAAGAAGAGUAAUAAUCAACUCAACUGUUUGAAACAUUGCAUAUAAAACCUAUGCAUUUAUAGUUAAUAUUAUUCAAAAGAAGUCAUUGCUCUUUCAAAAAGAAAAUUCGCAACCUUCACUGGUCACAGUUGGAGAUAAGUAGAACACUUACUUCUUACUCUAAAAUUGUCAAUGGAAGAAAUAAGUAAGCAUUUUAUCCUGUCUUUCCUAUAGAAAUUGUAUUUCAGAGUAAAUAAAUACAUACAGUAUGAGACAAUAAUCUUUUUGUAACUCCUGUUGCCAUCCGAACUCACUGAUCCUUCUUAGCAUGACUCAGAUUGGAACACUCUGACAUUAUGCACCUCCUAACCUGAUGUAAUAUGAAGCACUUAUCACCACUUGUAUAAUAUUCCUGUCCAAAGAAAUAGAACUUAAAUGUAAGAGCUAACUUCCAGUUUGCAGGAAACGUGGUUAUAGAGAAAGAAGCCGCAUGAUGCCACGAAAGAACAAGGCAAAUCUAGAAUUCAGGACAACUACAUUCCUGGUUUCUUCAAUACAGCAAGAACAUAAAAAUAGGAGAGGAAUAUAUGGAGUUUGUUUGGAUCUUAAUUGUAAGAAACCAUCUUUUUUUUUUUUUCUGCUUUAUCUCCCCAAAUCCCCCCAGUGCAUAGUUGUAUAUCUUAGUUUCAGGUCCUUCUAGUUGUGGCAUGUGGAUGCCACAUCAGUGUGGCCUGAUGAGUGGUGCCACGUCUGUGCCCAGGAUCUGAACUGGCAAAACCCUGGGCUGCCGCAGCGGAGUGUGCAAACUUAACCACUCGGCCACAGGGCUGGCCCCAAGAAACCAUCUUUAAAACUAUAUUUUUAAUACAGUUGGGGACAUUUGAAC
ensembl:lncRNA